UCGAGAAUCUUCGGCAAUGGGCGCAAGCCUGACCGAGCGACGCCGCGUGCGGGAUGAAGGCCUUCGGGUUGUAAACCGCUGUCAGGGGUCAGGAAAUGCCGGAAGGUCCUCCUUCCGGUUUGACCGAUCCCCAGAGGAAGGACGGGCUAAGUUCGUGCCAGCAGCCGCGGUAAGACGAACCGUCCGAACGUUAUUCGGAAUCACUGGGCUUAAAGAGUGCGUAGGCGGCCUGCCAGGCGGGGUGUGAAAUCCCUCGGCUCAACCGAGGAACUGCGCUCCGAACCGGCAAGCUAGAGGAAGAUAGGGGCGAGCGGAACUGAUGGUGGAGCGGUGAUAUGCGUUGAUAUCAUCAGGAACGCCGGUGGCGAAAGCGGCUCGCUGGGUCUUUACUGACGCUGAGGCACGAAAGCUAGGGUAGCGAACGGGAUUAGAUACCCCCGUAGUCC
rnacentral:rRNA from 1 species